UGGGGAAUAUUGCACAAUGGGCGAAAGCCUGAUGCAGCAAUGCCGCGUGUGUGAAGAAGGCCUGCGGGUUGUAAAGCACUUUCAGCUGGGAAGAUUAUGACGGUACCAGCAGAAGAAGCACCGGCUAACUCCGUGCCAGCAGCCGCGGUAAUACGGAGGGUGCAAGCGUUAAUCGGAAUUACUGGGCGUAAAGCGCGCGUAGGCGGCCUAUUAAGUCAGAUGUGAAAUCCCCGGGCUUAACCUGGGAACUGCAUCUGAUACUGGUAGGCUUGAGUUUGGUAGAGGGUAGUGGAAUUUCAGGUGUAGCGGUGAAAUGCGUAGAUAUCUGAAAGAACACCAGUGGCGAAGGC
rnacentral:rRNA from 1 species